rnacentral:lncRNA from 1 species
UACUCUUUUUGAAACAUGAAUAUAUUCACCAGCAAAUAACUCGAAAAGUAUUUACUUGUGAGGUCAAGACUAGUGAAAAAAACUCUAUAGUCAAUUUAUAUUUUCAACGUUUUGCAGAAAAAAA